rnacentral:tRNA from 1 species
GGCAAGAUGGCCGAGCGGUCUAAGGCGCAUGGGUCAGGCUACCUGAUCUGACUUCUUCAGUUGAAGAAUCAUUCCAUGUCUCGAAAGGGGCGUGGGUUCGAAUCCCACUCUUGUCA